UACGUAGGGGGCAAGCGUUAUCCGGAUUUACUGGGUGUAAAGGGAGCGUAGGUGGCAUGGUAAGCCAGAAGUGAAAACCCGGGGCUCAACCCCGCGGAUUGCUUUUGGAACUAUCAGGCUGGAGUGCUGGAGGGGUAAGCGGAAUUCCUAGUGUAGCGGUGAAAUGCGUAGAUAUUAGGAGGGACACCGGUGGCGAAGGCGGCUUACUGGACAGAAACUGACACUGAGGCUCGAAAGCGUGGGGAGCAAACAGG
rnacentral:rRNA from 1 species